CCUCCCGCUUCACCUCCCUGAGCGGGUGCCUUGAACCUUUCAAGGUGUUUCGCCCUCGGCCUUCUCCCCUUUGGUCGAGGGCUUUAUUUU
rnacentral:ncRNA from 1 species